rnacentral:rRNA from 1 species
UUUGGUGACUAUAGCCAGGGUGUUACACCUCUUCCCAUUCCGAACAGAGAAGUUAAGCCCCUGCACGCCGAUGGUACUGCGUGGGCAACUGCGUGGGAGAGUAGGUAGUCGCCAUUU